rnacentral:rRNA from 1 species
GACGAACGCUGGCGGCGUGCCUAAUACAUGCAAGUAGAACGCUGAAGGAGGAGCUUGCUUCUCUGGAUGAGUUGCGAACGGGUGAGUAACGCGUAGGUAACCUGCCUGGUAGCGGGGGAUAACUAUUGGAAACGAUAGCUAAUACCGCAUAAUAGUAGAUGUUGCAUGACAUUUGCUUAAAAGGUGCAAUUGCAUCACUACCAGAUGGACCUGCGUUGUAUUAGCUAGUUGGUGGGGUAACGGCUCACCAAGGCGACGAUACAUAGCCGACCUGAGAGGGGGAUCGGCCACACUGGGACUGAGACACGGCCCAGACUCCUCCGGGAGGCAGCAGUAGGGAAUCUUCGGCAAUGGACGGAAGUCUGACCGAGCAACGCCGCGUGAGUGAAGAAGGUUUUCGGAUCGUAAAGCUCUGUUGUAAGAGAAGAAAGAGUGUGAGAGUGGAAAGUUCACACUGUGACGGUAUCUUACCAGAAAGGGACGGCUAACUACGUG